rnacentral:rRNA from 1 species
GAUGAACGCCGGCGGUGUGCCUAAUACAUGCAAGUCGUACGCACUGGCCCAACUGAUUGAUGGUGCUUGCACCUGAUUGACGAUGGAUCACCAGUGAGUGGCGGACGGGUGAGUAACACGUAGGUAACCUGCCCCGGAGCGGGGGAUAACAUUUGGAAACAGAUGCUAAUACCGCAUAACAACAAAAGCCGCAUGGUUUUUGUUUGAAAGAUGGCUUUGGCUAUCACUCUGGGAUGGACCUGCGGUGCAUUAGCUAGUUGGUAAGGUAACGGCUUACCAAGGCGAUGAUGCAUAGCCGAGUUGAGAGGGUGAUCGGCCACAUUGGGACUGAGACACGGCCCAA